UACAGAGGGUGCGAGCGUUGUUCGGAAUUACUGGGCGUAAAGCGCGUGUAGGCGGUUCAUUAAGGCAGAUGUGAAAUCCCGGGGCCUAACUCCGGAAGUGCAUUUGAAACUGAUGAGCUGGAGUGAUGUAGAGGAUGGCGGAAUACCCAGUGUAGUGGUGAAAUACGUAGAGAUUGGGUAGAACACCGGUGGCGAAGGCGGCCAUCUGGGCAUUAACUGACGCUGAGACGCGAAAGCGUGGGGAGCAAACAGG
rnacentral:rRNA from 1 species